UACGGGGGGAGCAAGCGUUGUUCGGAUUUACUGGGCGUAAAGGGCGCGUAGGCGGUCAGCACAAGUCAGUUGUGAAAUCUCCGGGCUUAACUCGGAAAGGUCAACUGAUACUGUGCGACUAGAGUGCGGAAGGGGCAACUGGAAUUCUCGGUGUAGCGGUGAAAUGCGUAGAUAUCGAGAGGAACACCAGUGGCGAAGGCGGCUCACUGGCUCGAUACUGACGCUGAGGUGCGAAAGCGUGGGGAGCAAACAGG
rnacentral:rRNA from 1 species